rnacentral:rRNA from 1 species
AGUGAACGCUGGCGGUAGGCCUAACACAUGCCAGUCGAACGGCAGCACAGUAAGAGCUUGCUCUUACGGGUGGCGAGUGGCGGACGGGUGAGGAAUACAUCGGAAUCUACUUUUUCGUGGGGGAUAACGUAGGGAAACUUACGCUAAUACCGCAUACUACCUACGGGUGAAAGCAGGGGAUCUUCGGACCUUGCGCGAUUGAAUGAGCCGAUGUCGGAUUAGCUAGUUGGCGGGGUAAAGGCCCACCAAGGCGACGAUCCGUAGCUGGUCUGAGAGGAUGAUCAGCCACACUGGAACUGAGACACGGUCCAGACUCCUACGGGGGGCAGCAGUGGGGAAUAUUGGACAAUGGGCGAAAGCCUGAUACAGCCAUACCGCGUGGGUGAAGAAGGCCUUCGGGUUGUAAAGCCCUUUUGUUGGGAAAGAAAAGCAGCAGGUUAAUACCCCGCUGUUCUGACGGUACCCAAAGAAUAAGCACCGGCUAACUUCGUG